GUGAAGGAGAGUGGGAAGAGCAGGGCAAGGAAGCUAUUACUCACUUCCAUGAAUACAGGAGCUAGACAUGGAUGGGUUAACUUCAGUAGUCCAUGUCUUGCUUGCUGUGAUAGAUGGGAAUUUACCACAGCAACAAAAAGCCCUGACUGCCCUUGUGCAGGCCUUGGGGAGCUUGAUGUGGACAUCCUUCCAUAGGCCUGGAAGCUGAGCAUUUAAGGCUGGGUACCCUCUGGUCUGGCCCAGAUGUGAAUCCCACUUGGUCCUUGAAAAAGUGGCCUGGAAUCCAAGUGAAGCAACUGCACCGUGGAGGAGGCCUCCAGUGGUUCCAAUGGAGACCAGGAGCCCAGUUUAGUAGGAAGAUUCAGAGCAAGCCACUGAAGGUUUACAGAAGCACAAUGGCCUUGUUUUUGCUCUUCUGAUGGUAGACUGCAUCCACUGAUGAACCGGCAGCUAGACUGGGGAGAUGAGUGCUGGAUGCUUCAUACCCUCGAUCACUGGACUCCAGGUUCUUCAGCUUUUGGACUCUUGGACCUACACCAGUGGUUUGCCAGGGGCUCUCGGGCCUUUGCCACAGACUGAAGGCUGCACUGUUAGCUUCCCUGCUUUUGAGAUUUGGGGACUCGGACUGGCUUCUCUGCUCCUCAGCUUGCAGACGGCCUAUUGUGGAACUUCACCUCGUGACUGUUUCUGGUGACUGGAAGUUCAAGAUCAGAGUGCCAGCAGAUGCAGGUUCUAGUGAGGAUCUUCUUCCUGGUUGCAGACACUGACUUCCUGUAUCAUCAAAUUAUGGAAAGAAAAAAGGUAGGUCAUUGGCCUUUCCUUAUAAGGUCACUAAUCCCCUUCAUGAGGGCUCCACCCUUGUGACCUAAUUACCUCCCAAAGUCCCACCUCCAAGUACCAUCACACUGGAGAUUAGAUUUCAACAUGUGAAUUUUGAGGGGAAAAAAUAUUCAAUCUAUAACAGGGAUCAAAAUUCUGUUCUGAACCUCUCUUCCAUGUGAGAUUGGAACUAGAUACAAGUGCUUGUUAUUUGUCAAAUAUUUGUGAUAUCUUCAACUCAUUUCAUAUUUAGAAGGACAAUUUUUCAACAGGUGGAAAUGAAAUAUUUAAAAGUGUGAUUUCAUAACAUCCUAAGUUAAACACAAAGAAAUGACUGAGAUUGCCAGAGAGCAGGAGCAAAUGUUGGUUGUGGGCACACAUACUCAUUUGUCCAUUUUACAGAAACAUGUAUUGUUAUCUUCGUGUGGAUGUCACAAAGUAGAAGUCUGAUAGAAUAUCUUUUGCCAAGUUGACUUUUGAUCCUGACUACUUUGGAGUCAGUUAUGUCCAGGUCCUUAUCAUCACAGCUGUUCAUAAUUACAGCAUCCCAAUUAGUCUCUCUUCUCCAGUCUAUCCCCAAACUAAUCCAUCCUAUAGAUUGCCAGAAGGCUAAUUGUCCUAGAACAGCGUCAUGUGCCAUAUUGCAUUGUUUUGGUCAAUGACGGACCUCAUAUGCAACAGUGGUUCCCUAAGAUUAUAAUGGAGCUGAACAAUUCCUAUUACCUAGUGACAUUGUAGCACAACACAUUACUCACAUGUUUGUGGUUAUGCUGGUAUAAACACGCCUACUGAGGCCCGGCGCGGUGGCUCACGCCUGUAAUCCCAGCACUUUGGGAGGCCAAGGCGGGCAGAUCGAGACCAUCCUGGCUAACACAGUGAAACCCCGUCUCCACUAAAAAUACAAAAAAUUAGCCAGGCGUGGUGGCAGGCGCCUGUGGUCCCAGCUACCCGGGAGGCUGAGGCAGGAGAAUGGCUUGAACCCGGGAG
rnacentral:lncRNA from 10 species